rnacentral:siRNA from 1 species
CAUGAGCAGAAAUGGUGCAGUG